rnacentral:rRNA from 1 species
UAACAAGGAUUCCCCUAGUAACGGCGAGCGAAGCGGGAAGAGCUCAAAUUUGAAAGCUGGCGUCUUCGGCGUCCGCGUUGUAAUCUCGAGACGUGUUUUCCGUGCGGCUCUAUGGACAAGUCCCUUGGAACAGGGCAUCGUAGAGGGUGAAAAUCCCGUACUUGCCAUGGAAGUACCGUGCUUUGUGAUACACGCUCCAAGAGUCGAGUAGUUUGGGAUUGCUGCUCAAAGUGGGUGGUAGACUCCAUCUAAAGCUAAAUAUCGGGGAGAGACCGAUAGCGAACAAGUACCGUGAGGGAAAGAUGAAAAGCACUUUGGAAAGAGAGUUAAAAGUACGUGAAAUUGUCGAAAGGGAAGCACUUGAAGUCAGCCAUGCUGCUUGAGACUCAGCCUGGCUUUUGCUUGGUGUAUUUCUCGGUAGCAAGCCAGCAUUGGUUUGUGUCGUCGGAGAAGCGUAUGGGGAAUGUGGCAUCCUCGGAUGUGUUAUAGCCCUGUGCAGGAUACGACGACGUAGACCAAGGAACGCAGUGUGCCCUCUGGGCGGGUCUUCGGACACCUUCACACUUAGGAUGCUGGCGUAA